AUGGGGUUGGGGCAAAAAUUGUGACAUCAGGGUCAAAAAAUAGAAAUGUAAUAAAUGAAAUGUUUUAUUUCUUAUAUGUUUCAUGGGACAAUCCUUCAACUAAAUCCACUUACAGGCAUUUCAUACCACCCUGCAUAUUGGAGUAAACUGAGAAAUAAGAUUUGACAAAAUACCACCGUUACAUGGACAUCAUUUAUCAUCCUUACUAAGACUAUGCUCUCCCACUGUCAAAAUAAAGGGGUUGAUCUCCAUUACUCUUGAUAAAUAUUUUGCUAACAACAUUGUUAGUCAUUUUAUUCCACACUUUUCAACAUGGCAUAUAUAUUUUGAAAGAUUUAGCAUCAAUAAAUGGAACUUGAUGCUCUGUGUGUAUACCAGUGCCAUGUUCUGUGUCGUUCUUUUUUCUCACCAGUCUAGAAAAUUGAAUUUAUGAUGGCAUGUAGCACUAAAAAGUUGAGAGAAGUCAUGCCUCAACAGAAUGGAAUAUUCUCUUUGGAAAAAAUAAACUACUCUUUCUGGCAUAACCUUCUAUUUUUGGUGUUACCACCGUUACAUGGACAUCAUGUCUCAGUAACAGAGGUAUACUUAGAAGCAAUGUUAAGUUAAUGUCCAUUAAUGGCCAUUACACACCAAAUUCCACUUCAUGCCUUAGAAUAUUUGCACAAGAUCAAUUGAUUACACUAAAGAAAAACAUUUUGCAUGUCAAAUUCUUUGCAAAUAAAAGCAAAUUAAAUUAGAGUUUAAACAAGGAAAAAUGUACAAAAUUAUUGACAAAUUAUAUUUAAAAUCAUACUACGAUAAUCCUCAAGUUUCCACUUCCAUCUACCUCUGGAAACAUUUACGUUUCUGCCUAAAUGGAAAAAACAAAACAGUGCUAUCUUAUGAUCUCCAAUUCUUUUUACUUUAAAAUAACUCCUUCAAGAUAUUACUUUCAAAUGUACAUACCACCGUUACAUGGACAUCAUGUCUCAGUAACAGAGGUAUACUUUGAAGCAUUGCUAAGUUAAGGUCCAUUAAUGGCCAUUAAACACCAAAUUCCACUUCAUGCCUUAGAAUAUUUGCACAAGAUCAAUUGAUUAUACUAAAAAACAUUUUUCAUGUCAAAUUCUUUGCAAAUAAAAGCAAUUUAAAUUAGAGUUUAAACAAGGAAAAAUGUACAAAAUUAUUGAUAAAUUUAUAUUUAAAAUAAUACUAAGGUAAUCCUCAAGGUUCCACUUCCGUCUAUCUCUGGAAACAAAUGUUUCUGUCUAAAGCGGAAAAAAACAAAAGAGUGCUAGCUUAUGAUCUCCAAAUCUUUAUUACUUUAAAAUAUCUCCUUCACGGUAUUACUUUCAAAUGUACAUACCUCCGUUACAUGGACAUCAUGUCCUUGUAAUGAUCAUAUUGAAUAGUAUUACAUGUACUUGCCAUUCUUUUAGUAUCAACACACUAAUGCGAGUUAACUCAUCUUACUCAAGUGUAGAAAUACAACAUCUACAGGCAAGCUUCUAAAAUGCAUCAAUGAACAGGUUACAAGUUUAUGAACUUCAAGAUGAUCGGUGACCCAAUGACAACUGUGUGGAAGAGGACUCUGUCAAUGUCACAAAAUAGACAGAGGUAGAAUUGUGCCUCGCCAUCAGGCCAGGAGUACAGGUCACCAGAUUGACACUUCAUGUACUGAAGAUAUACAUUUUUACCUUCAACAGAG
rnacentral:lncRNA from 1 species